UACGUAGGGUGCAAGCGUUGUCCGGAAUUAUUGGGCGUAAAGAGCUCGUAGGCGGUCUGUCACGUCGGCUGUGAAAUCCCGAGGCUCAACCUCGGGUCUGCAGUCGAUACGGGCAAACUAGAGUAUUGCAGGGGAGACUGGAAUUCCUGGUGUAGCGGUGAGAUGCGCAGAUAUCAGGAGGAACACCGGUGGCGAGGGCGGGUCUCUGGGCAAUAACUGACGCUGAGGAGCGAAAGCGUGGGGAGCGAACAGG
rnacentral:rRNA from 1 species